rfam:Nicotiana sylvestris Nsyl_contig51918, whole genome shotgun sequence.
AAACUUACCUGAACAAGGUUCAAUGGGCGAUCAAGAAUGCCCAUGGCCUAGGUUGGUGGGCUCCAUUGCACUUUGGAGGGGUGCCCGUCUUAGUUCCGCCCAAGUGGCAGAGCCUACGUCAUAAUAUUUUCUUAAUUC